UCUCUCUAAAGGAAUCAUACGCCUGGCAGUGAGUGUCUGGGAGGGACUGCACGAGCCGCCACAGCCAGUGACCAUUAACGGCACUAAGUCCUAUUGGAGCAACGUCACUUGUGGUGUACCCCAAGGCUCAGUACUUGGACCAUUAUUGGGACUGCCAAUAGGCCCGCUGCAGUUUCCUCCAUUCUUAUGUUCUUAUAUCAAGAAUUUAAAGUUUAUAAAUUAAUAAAGAUUUUGGUGCCAUCACGAAUGUUCAACAAUGUCAACAAGGUCGGCCAUCUUGGAGCCGAGGAGAGUGUUGGGUAGUCUAGUGUAAACAAACUUACCGUAUGGAGGCGAGUGACUGUAACACCUACCAAAAAAUGAAUAUAACAAGGACAUAAUAUAGGAUGGUAUCAUUUAAAUGGACGACACGGGAGAAGUGACUAACUACCAACACUAAAACAGGUUCUGCGAGUAUUAUUCCUCCCGGGUUGUGGCGUUCUCAUUUUGAAUGAUGGCCAUUCCAAAGAUGCUAGUUAAGUUUGUCUCAUUGAAGCUGUGUGGCACCUGAUCAUCUUCCUUAUGGUUGAUCAUCUAUUAUCCCUCUCAACAUUUGGAGCUUUGAGCAUCAGAGUUUUGACCUGCAGUCAAACUGAAGGUGUUGUUUGAAAAGCUCCAUUAAAGCUGUGGGGCAUUUGUCCAUACUCCAGAAGGUGAUUUCCACAUCAAGAUUACUAAGUUGUUCAUUAAUAACAUGCAGUAAUCUUCCAUUGUGUGUCAAAGGGUGCUGCGUCUCUGUGGCUUAUGACUUAAGACCAAAUCAAGGACUUUUGUUCAAGACAUUUACUGUUUGAUGCAACUGUGGAAAACAAAAUUGAUUCCCAAACAUUUUUUAUCUGAUCAGGUGUACAUUAUUUAUAAAUUUAUAACAUUUCCACCUUGAAGUAAAACAGGAUUGUGGAUAAUAUGUCUUUGGAUUGAAAAGAAUCGAUUUUUUUUAGAGCAGGAAUUUUAACAAUUAUUUAAAUCUUCUGAUUACAAAAAUCUUUAGAAAUCUGACAAGAAAAUUUUAUGUUUAACUUUUAAUUGAAUACUUAACAAAAAUAAUUUGGAAAAGGAAUAUGGAAGGUCACCCAGUUGAGAACUCAUUCCAUUGUUCAAUGUGCAAUAAAUUUUUUAGCACAAAUGACAUUCUGUUAAAGCAUGCUUGUAACUACACAGGGAGAAAGCCAUAUAAAUGUUCCAAAUGCCAUAAAUCAUUUCAAAAGAGAUGUUAUUUAUUAAAGCAUAAAAAGAUUCACACAGAAGGAAAGACAUUUCAUUGUGCAGAAUGCGAUAAAUCUUUCAGACAGAAAGGAAAUUUAAUAGUACAUAUGAGAGUUCAUACAGGAGAGAAACCAUAUCAGUGUUCAGAAUGUAAUGAAUUCUUUAGACAUGGCAAAAGUUUGAAAAUACAUUAUAGAGUUCACACUGGAGAAAAGCCAUUUCAGUGUUCAGAAUGUAAUGAAUUUUUUAGACAUAAGCAGAGUUUAGAUGUACACUUGAGAGUUCACCAAGAGAAGAAACCAUUUCAGUGUAUAGCGUGUAAAAAAUACUUCAGUAUAAAAGGACGUCGAAUACAGCCUCUCAAGUGUACAGAAUGCUCUACAGCCAAUAGAUUUCAAAAUUAUCUAGUAGUGGAUAGUAAUGCUCGUCCUACAGAAAAACCUUCGAGUCUACAAAUUGACAGUAUUGUUUUGAUGCCUAACUCAAUAGAAGAGAUGUUGGUCAGCUCCAGGGUAGAAGUGAAAAAGGAAGGAGGUGAUAAUGUAGACUCAGUUAUUGUUAAGACUGAGGAUCCACUCAAACUUGAUACUAUUCCUCAGUGUGCUAUAAAGAGGGAGAUCCUGGAGGAUUGUAUUUUUGUUAAGGAAGAAGAAUUCUGACAUUUUCUAAAGUCGUUCGUAUCUGGUGUUCUAGUGUUUGUUUGUUGUACUUUAAUAAAUAUUUGUCAUUAAUUUGUUUCUUAUCUUUCAAACUUUCUAAUAUUUUGAAUAAAAAUGAAUGGGUAAAUAUUUACAAACUAUACUGAGUAAAACCCAAUCACUGCCCCUAACAUGGCAUUGUUCAUUGAUAUUUCUGCAUAGGAACUGCCACAUUACAGGUAUCCAACACUACGAUGAAGAAUCUACAGUGGAAAUUGGAUAUAUUAUGAAGUUGUGUGUUUACAUCUCUCACGUUAUAUCCAGUCAAGCUCAUGACACUUAACACGUAAGAGGAAAAAUAUGUUUGGCUUAAUAGCAGUAUAUUUCCCAUUUUGUUUUUACUCUUCUAUAAAUGUACUCUCAUGCAGUCAGCCCUAAAGCACACAACUAUUGUCAGAUUGCUUUUGAUUUGAGUUGUUGAAUCACACCAAAUACUCCAGACUCAUAUAAUCCUAUUUCAUUUAGCUCAUCAUCACUGGUUCCUUGACACACAGUAGUACACACUAGCCCUGUCCUCUCUGAAUGGUGGGUAAUAUCCUGGUAAAUAAAAUUCACCCGGCAACACAUUUUCUCAACCCAAGGAUGUGAUUUCUCCACAAGAUCUUUAAUCCUUUCUCCGUUGAUUGUUGGGAGUUCUUGUAUUUGUUGCUUUAGUUUAUCUUUUUCCUUAUCUAUUUUGGUUUCAAGAUCCUAUACAGUACAUUGUAAUUAUCUCUAUAACUUUUUUCAUACAUAUUUUGCGAAGAAAUAUGGCAAGCUCAUUAUCAGUAUUUGAGCUGCAUAUGAGUGCCUUAAGUAACUCUUUAGACAGCUUUAACCCCUUCUCUAUAGGGAUGCCACUUUUAAUAUUUUAUUUGGCUAAUGCUAGACAAUUUUAGACUUGAAGGAUGGACAUAGUAAUAUAUAGACAAGCUAUGAUAUUCAGUGAUUAAUUAUAUUAAGGGAUUAACUAUUAUACACACUUCAAGGGGUCAUUCUUAUGGGGUGAAUCAUCAUACUUAAAGGGAAAUAGUAAUUGUACUCAAGAUUGUUAUAUUGUACACGAAUGUUAAGUCAUCAUACUCGAGAAGUUAUGAACGGAUUCAUGGGCUAACUUUGUAUGGUUUUACUGUAUAAUGAGCUCAAUGUUGAUCUGAUAUGUGGUGAGCUUUAUGGUGCCCUGUGUUUAUGUAAUGUUUUAAUAUCACACAGUGGUAUGGGUUUGUUGUGUCAUAAGCUUACUAUAGUACUAAGGUUGCCAUGUCAUAAUUUCACAACACUAGACUUGCUAGGUUAUAAAAAUACAACACCAGGUUUUUUGUUUUGUUUUUGUAAGGUCACAACUUUGGAUUUUUCUUAUUGUAAUCCCACAACACCAGGAUAGUCUAUCAAAAGAUUUCAGCACUUGGAUUUCUAUGUGGUGAGCUCACGGCAUUGAGUGUUGUGUGUCUCUUGGUCAGCAACACUGAAUUCUCUUGCCAUGAAGUCACUAUAUUGGUAAACCAUUUGGUAAAAAUCUGUGAUGCAGAUGAGACCAUUCACAAUGUAAAUCUUUUUGAAUCAUCUGAAGAUUAGACCUUUAAGUUCUCACCUGGAGUUUCAUCCCUUAGCUUAACCGGCCUCAAGUUUUACUGCUACCGAAUUAUCAGGGAGGGGGGUUAAUCUUCAGGUGACACACGGAGGAUAAAUUUUGUAAUGGUCUCGUCUGCAUCACUGGUAUAAAUGAACCCAGCUUUUGUCAGGGUUUGUGUUUAUAUGGUGUAGUAUGUGAUACAAAAAUAUAAAUAUUUUAAAAGAUA